CACAUAUCCUUCACAUAGAGUUAACCAGCCUGUUGAUUGUGGCGAAGUUGCUGGGAACUGGAACACACUGUCGUACACGAUGAUCGAGAGUAUCACAAACAUGCUCAAUGGGUGACAUUUCUGCUUAUGCCUGCCCAUACCAUAACCCCACCGGCACCAUGGGCCACUCUGUUCACAGCGUUGACAUCAGCAAACCGCUCGCUCACAUGAUGCCAUACACGUGGUCUGUGGUUUUGAGGCCGGUUGGACACACUGCCA
rnacentral:lncRNA from 1 species